rnacentral:rRNA from 1 species
CUGAAACCGCGGAUGGCUCAUUAUAACAGCUAUGAUUUGAGAGAUAUAAUCUAUUUGCCAUAAGAUAACUGUGGUAAUUCUAGAGCUAAUAUUUUAAAGAAUGCCGUGACUCACGAAGCGGCGGAUUUAUUAGAUCAAAACUAACCUGUCGCAAGGCAGAAUUUUGAUGACUCUGGAUAACUUAACUGAUCGUACAACAUUUGUUGACGACGAAUCUCUUGAAAUGGCUGACCUAUCAACUUUCGAUGGUAAGAUCAAAGCUUACCAUGGUUGUAACGGGUAACGGGGAAUCAGUGUUCGAUUCCGGAGAGGGAGCCUGAGAAACGGCUACCACAUCCACGGAAGGCAGCAGGCGCGAAAAUUACCCAAUACCGGUUCGGUGAGGUAGUGACAAUAAAUAACAAUAUGGGCCCUAGUGGUUUCAUAAUUGCAAUGAGAAUAUUUUAAWUACUUUAUCAAGUAUCAAUUGGAGGGCARGUCUGGUGCCRGCAGCCGCGGUAAUUCCAGCUCCAAAAGCGUAUAUUAAAUUUGUUGCAGUUAAAAAGCUCGUAGUUGAAAUUGAGGAAUWAUUCRUUAGGCGAUCUUUGAUNGCAUUUNNAAUUCUCCUUUCCGUCGUGUAUAUUGAUUAAUNNNNNNNNNNNNNNNNNNNNNNNACCGACAAGUUUACUUUGAAAAAAUUAGAGUGCUUAAAGCAGGCUNWUGCKUGKAUAUUGUUGCAUGGAAUAAUGAAAUAAGACUUKGGUUUUAUUUUGUUGGUUUUCGAAACUGAAGUAAUGAUUAAAAGAGACUGCCGGGGGCAUAUGUAUGCUGGUGCUAGAGGUGAAAUUC